GGGAUAGCCGUUGGAACGACGAAUAAUACCCUAUGAAACUAUCACUUCGCAUGAAGCGAUAGUCAAAGUGUUAGCGGUGUAAGAUGGACUUGCGUCUGAUUAGCUAGUUGGUGAGAAAAAGACCCACCAAGGCAACGAUCAGUAGCCGGCUUGAGAGAGUGUACGGCCACAUUGGGACUGAGACACGGCCCAG
rnacentral:rRNA from 1 species